rnacentral:lncRNA from 1 species
AGGGGGAGGGGAGCAUCAAGUGAAUAACCGUCCAUCCUUUGAAUAGAGAAAGGGACACCUCCCCGAACCACCUUGAACCUACCUGUUGCAAUCGACCUACCUAGCAGCAGCCCUAGGAUCACAUCUCCUGAUCCGUCAGUCGUGUUGAGGAUUCAAGCCCAACCAGUCGCGCAUUGAGAAAGUCUAACCUGACGCGGAUAUACUCGCGAUCGCUAAUUUAAAACUUUUGUUGUUUUCACAGUGAUCGUAUUGGGAACUUUCAUUUUCACGUAAACAGAUAUCGAUUGCUUUAAACUGCAGUUUUAUUUAUAUCUGCGCUCAUCAACAUUUGUACCUGGCGCCUUGGAGUUUUCACGCUUACAAUAAAGAACUGGGAGCGUAUAGUCAAUGUGUUCGAUUAAUUAUUCAAUUUAAUUGUUUUUUUAAUUACUGUCAAGUGAAUUGCGAUCUGAUCAGUGUUUUCGAGAUAUAAAGUGAAGGAUUAAAGCUUGAUUAUGGAAGUUUCGUCCACGAUUCCCAACGCCAAAUUGACUUGUUUCCCGGAAACCCGAAAGAUCCGGAAGCCAUUGAUGGAGAAAAAGAGGAGAGCUCGGAUUAAUGAAAGUUUAGACGAACUAAAAAGGCUAAUAUUGGAAAGGAAAUCUGAGGUAAGUUAAAUUACUCAAAAUUUCAUUCACACAAUAUUGUUUAAUUAUGGUAAAACUGGAGUCCACCAGUGAUUUAGCGGUGGGUAGAAUUUCAAAAACGUAAAAUUAAUGCAAUAAUUUGCAAGCAAAAAUGCAGCAAUGUAAAACUAUACCAUUCGUCAAGCAGCAAUCAUCGGUCCCAUUAUUGGAUUAAUACACAAAAUUAUUAGCUUUCAUUUCAUAAAAUCAGGCCGUUUCUGUUAUUCCCCCGUUAAACAGUCCUUUUCAACAUUGAUCUCCACACAAACUCGCACUGGAAAGUCCUCUAAAACUGCUGGUUAGAGGGUCGUAUUUACGAGUGGCUUAUUUUUCGUGAACUGCAUGGAUUUUCAAUUUAACAGUCCUUGAACAAUUUUGCGAGAAACAUUAUGAGGCUACAAAUUAUUCUUUAAGAUCACUCUUCAAGCUGAAUAAAUGGUGUUUCAGUUAAGUUCCUAGAAAAAGAGUCAAACUCCUCUGUAGGAAUAUCUAGAGUAAUUUAAUUUAUAUAAUAGAGGAUCCCGGUUACCUUAGCCGGAAACUUUGAAAGCACCAAAGUUCAUU